rnacentral:tRNA from 1 species
GCUAGGAUUGCCGAGUGGUCAAAGGCGCUGGAUUGCAAAUCCAGUAGCGUUAUGCUUUCGUGAGUUCGAAUCUCACUCCUAGCU